GAUGAACGCUGGCGGCAUGCCUAACACAUGCAAGUCGAACGAUGCCUUCGGGCAUAGUGGCGCACGGGUGCGUAACGCGUGGGAAUCUGCCCUUGGGUUCGGAAUAACUCAGAGAAAUUUGAGCUAAUACCGGAUGAUGACGUAAGUCCAAAGAUUUAUCGCCCAAGGAUGAGCCCGCGUAAGAUUAGCUAGUUGGUGGGGUAAAGGCCUACCAAGGCGACGAUCUUUAGCUGGUCUGAGAGGAUGAUCAGCCACACUGGGACUGAGACACGGCCCAGACUCCUACGGGAGGCAGCAGUGGGGAAUAUUGGACAAUGGGCGAAAGCCUGAUCCAGCAAUGCCGCGUGAGUGAUGAAGGCCUUAGGGUUGUAAAGCUCUUUUACCAGGGAUGAUAAUGACAGUACCUGGAGAAUAAGCUCCGGCUAACUCCGUGCCAGCAGCCG
rnacentral:rRNA from 1 species